AGGGAGGGUAGACAGUUGGAAACGACUGCUAAUACCGCAUAACGCUGCGAUGGGGCAUCCCGAUGCAGCCAAAGGAGCAAUCCGCUGGAAGAUGGGCUCGCGGCCGAUUAGCUAGUUGGUGGGGCAACGGCCCACCAAGGCGACGAUCGGUAGCCGGACUGAGAGGUUGAUCGGCCACAUUGGGACUGAGACACGGCCCAGACUCCUACGGAAGGCAGCAG
rnacentral:rRNA from 1 species